UAGGGAAUCUUCGGCAAUGGACGAAAGUCUGACCGAGCAACGCCGCGUGAGUGAAGAAGGUUUUCGGAUCGUAAAACUCUGUUGUUAGAGAAGAACAAGGAUGAGAGUAAAAUGUUCAUCCCUUGACGGUAUCUAACCAGAAAGCCACGGCUAACUACGUGCCAGCAGCCGCGGUAAUACGUAGGUGGCAAGCGUUGUCCGGAUUUAUUGGGCGUAAAGCGAGCGCAGGCGGUUUCUUAAGUCUGAUGUGAAAGCCCCCGGCUCAACCGGGGAGGGUCAUUGGAAACUGGGAGACUUGAGUGCAGAAGAGGAGAGUGGAAUUCCAUGUGUAGCGGUGAAAUGCGUAGAUAUAUGGAGGAACACCAGUGGCGAAGGCGGCUCUCUGGUCUGUAACUGACGC
rnacentral:rRNA from 1 species